rnacentral:rRNA from 1 species
GGCCACAGCCAUGUCACCCUGCAGCCCAAGACCGGUUACUCACUGAAGCUAAGCAGGGCUGAGCCUGGUCAGUACCUGGAUGGGAGACCACUGAGAACACUAGGUUGCUGUUGGAA